rnacentral:rRNA from 1 species
CAUGGAGGGUGAGAAUCCCGUCCGGCUGACCUUUCAGGACGUUUUACGAUACGCUCUCAAAGAGUCGAGUUGUUUGGGAUUGCAGCUCAAAAUGGGAGGUAAAUUUCUCCUAAGGCUAAAUACCGGCGAGAGACCGAUAGCGAACAAGUACCGUGAGGGAAAGAUGAAAAGAAUUUUGAAAAGAAAGUCAAACAGUACGUGAAAUUGUUGAAAGGGAAACGAUUGAAGCCAGUCGUACCGACGGGAAUUCAACUUCUCGAGUGCUAAUCGUGGGUGACGUUGAGCCUCACGGCCUUCGUUGCUUGUGUUGUUGGUGCUUUUGGGGUGUACUUUUCCGUAUGGUAGGUCAGCAUCGAUUUCGAUCGUCAUAAAAUGAUCGGGGGAAUGUAGCUUCGGUCUCGUAUCGGAGUGUUAUAGACCUUGGUAGAUGUGACGAUUGGGAUCGAGGAUUGCAACGAAUACCCUCUGGGCUAUCCGUCUGACCUCUGAAAGUCGCUCGGGUGUCGAAAGCGUGCUUAUGGCUAUUCGAGUUGGCGGUCAACAGGUUAGAACGUGAUUACAUUCGUUAAGGAUGUUGACGUA